GGAAGAGCCGAGGUUGUACACGCAUGUUCUGCUCUUACCUGCUUCCAUCAGCUGGCACUGCUGCCCGAAAACUUGCGAGAAGGUGACGGGGCCUGGCGCGGAGCUGGAGGUCACCGGGGACGCGUCCAUCGCGCUGGGCACUGAGAUGUCUAAACGCAGCAGCUACCUUGUCCGUGAGCGUGGGCACAUCCUCAUUCGAGGAAACGGGGGAGUUUCUCCUGUGUGAGAAUGCGGCUGGAAGAAUGCAGCGGUGAUGAACGGCGGCCCACGGAGCUCCCUCAACAAACACGCCAAGUCCCACAGCCCCGGACAAGGGAUAAAACUCCCCCUCCAGGCCUUGUGAUGGAGCAUGUCCUGUAACAGCGAUACAUGAAACAGGGACCAUUUCUAGGAAGAUAAAACCCUCCCAUCCCGUGCCCUGCUCAAAAUUUCUGCUGUAAUUACCGUUC